rnacentral:lncRNA from 1 species
CAGGGGUUUAGUCAGAUUGCUUCUUCUCACCGAGCAGCGUCAUACACCAUGUAAAAUGUGCCUCCUUCGUCUUCUCAUUCUGCCAUGAUUGUAAGUUUCCUGAGGUCUCCCCAGCCACGCUUCCUGAACAGCCUGCGGAACGGCCCAGUCCCAAGGCACAAGACCACUUGUGCCAGCAGCCAGCAGCGUGCAUCAGCAAGACAGCAGAAGCAGGAAGACAGCCUGCUGGAAGACACUUACCCUGGCCGGAAGACAUGUACCCCUGAAGAUGGAGAAAGAGGCCUUCCGGGUACUACGUAGCAGUCACGUCAGACCGGGACACUUCCUGUUUAGAGAGGACUAUAAAACUCCGGUCCGGUAAUCACUUGGGGCUGACGCCAUUUUAGGCCUCAUCCCGCCUGCACCCAGGCACUCAUUAAAACAGCGUGUUGCCCCACACUGCCUCGUGUUGUCUGUUGGUGCGCUCUCGGGGUUCAAACCGAUACAAGAACCUUUCAAAUGGUAGUAAGAUUAAAGGUUUUUACUAAGUUAUUAAUAACAAAAAAGGCACAGAUCUUAAAUGUGCAGUUAUGAAUUUUGGCAAUUGUAUACAUUCAUGUAAUCACUACCCACAACAAAAAUAGAAUGUUUCCACCACCACAAAAAGUUUGCAACACCCCUGUACCUCUUUCUAGUGCAUUUCCAAUCAUGUCCUCAUACCUACCUACCCCACAACCAUUUUUUAAUCUCUUCCAGAGCUAACGCUUAAUACAUUGAAUUUUACAUAAUCUUAGGAUAGACUGUCCCACAUAAAGGAGACUAUCUGCAAUAAUUUAUGUUGGAAGAAUAAGAUAUUGAUGUCAAUUAAUACAUUUUGUGUCCUGGUUUAAAAAUGCUCCUACUAUUAAUUAAAAUUUUAAAGACAUUUUCUUGUGAAAGUAUAAAGGGAUACUUUUUUCUAUUUUGAACAUUAUGAGUUCAAAAGUUCAUUCUGAUAGAAAAUUUUAUUUUGUGUGUUUCAACUAUGUAUGGAUGGAAAUAAAACUAGGAAGAAAUAUAGAUAAUUCUUUAUACUUCUUUGCAUUUUCCAAAUUUUAUGCUACAACCAUGUAUUGCUUUUAUUGGUACAAUAAAGCAAUAUCAUCAGUGUAAAAUGUACUUAUUUUUUCAUAAUUAUGUUAAGUCUCUUUAUAUUUAUUUUGAUCAAAGUGUCUUAGAGAUGUGUUUUCAAUUAAGAAGUCCCAGGGUCUCCAAGCUCACUGGCACUGUCCUGU